UACUCGUCCACACCCCUUGUAAUCUCUCGGUGAAGAAGCCCUUUUGGCUUUAUGUCGGUCAUUAAUGGAUAAAGGAGAAAAAAAACUUGGGAUAUCCAGUACUCGAAGACGACUAUGACUUAACUUUGAAGUUUGAAACUAUUUUUAACUCGCGAAUCAGCGUUACAGCCUCUGCGUGUUGGGACUAGAAAGUCAUCACAGCUGAGUCUGCACAGGACGUCACUCUGUCGAGCUCCAAACAACAACUUCAUAGUUAUAGAGUCAAGAGGAGGAGCUGACCUGGAAGAUGAACAUGUCCUUUAGUACUGAGACAAGCAGCUUGAUCCAGCUGGUCAGCAUCCAUCUUUUAAGAACCGGGUGGAUCUGCAGGACAGACAGAUGAAGGAUGGAGACGUGUCUUUGAUUCUGAGGGACAUCAUAACUGCAGAUGCUGGAAAAUACAAGUAUCGUGUCUUCAAGAGAGGAACAAGCCGGAGGGAGAGAGCCCUUUUGAAUAAUGACUCCAUCAGCAUCAUCUACCUGAGUGUUGUUGAUCCUCCAGAGUUUCUACCAGAGCCAAAUGUCAUCGACUCCUCACUGAGGUCGUCCACCAGUCCAACCACUGGAAUCCAGCUGCUGCUCUCUAACUGGUCCACACAGCAGCUCAGACCUGACACAUUCACUG